CGGCAGGCACUUGGAGGGGCCAUUUAAAAUCUAAAGGCUAAAACUCACAGACAUCAAGAUUGACAUUAAAAGAGUCCCUAAUAAGAAAACCAUGGUUACUGGUAAAGAACAAGUGAAAGAGCAGUUCUUAGGGAAGAAAGAUUAUCUUCUAAUUUAUUUUGAAAGCUCAAGAUGGCUGUUCAUUGUGAGGAAAAAUGGAGAAACGUGGAUUUGACGAGUUCAUUUCAUCAUUUGCAACAUCUUCAGCCAUUGUUUAUAGUUAUUACUUCAACUGGGAGCUC